GAUAGAAUAGUGUUUUAGGAGCACAUGUAAUUGUCGUUUACAAAGGUAUCUAUCUA
rnacentral:tRNA from 1 species